AAGAGGGUGAAUUGGACAGCUUUACAGAUGCCUCAUGUUAGGAAAUUUUCCUGGAUUUGAGUCUUCAAUGUGGGAGCAGAGUUACCUGAAUAUAUGGAGUUGAUGGAGACAUUCCUUGAUGAGAAGCAGAAAUUCCCCAGGGACCUUGUAAAUCUGAAGCAGAUAAAGGGAAAUGAAGAAACCAAGUUUUACAACUUUGAUGAGUGGCAAAAUUUGUCAAUAAGAGCUAGAUAUUAAGUAAUUAGCUUUUAGGAAGCAAAGUGUAUUGGACUUGGCUAUGAUAUGAAGGAAUUCAUUUAAUAAAUCAAAACGAAAACAAAAACAACAAAAACAAAGAAGCGAAGCAUGAAUCUCCUAAUCAGCAGAAAAGGGAGGACAGCCGGAGACAAUCGUAUUCCUGAUCGAUACUGAUGUAAACUUGUGCUGGAACAGCAACAGAUGACUUUCUGCAAAGGCACUGAUAAUAGCUAUGAGGAAUAAAUAUUGCAGAUGGAUUAAAUCAAAGAAUCAAAUUUCAAAGCCAAAUUAGUCGUGAAAAGGAGGGAGAAGCAGAAAUGAAGAAAAAAGAACCACAGAAGUAAAAUCAGCAGCAUUGAAAAGAAAAUCAUCUGCUGUUUGAAUAAAGACCCAAGAUCUUUCAUUGUUGGAUCCCCAAAGCCAGUGCCUUUUUUGAGCAGCAAGUCCCAAGAUCAAGAAAUCAGAAGGAACUAAUACUUUAACUAAUUAGUAGUAAUGAAAAUUUACUAGACAUCAAUGACAAAUUUACAAGGCAAAUUUAUUUCCAAAGUACAUUCAUAUAUAUCACAGGUAAAAUGAGGUUUUCACAAACACCAUUUUAAACAUAGGGUUUAUUUGCAGGAGCUAUUUUUGUGGCUUAGGGAACAAAUGGUUCAUUGAAACAGAACUUUGCUGGUCUGGUUUCAAAGAAUUCUAUUAUAUAAAAGAUUCUGUAGAACAGAUGGGAUCAAAAGUCCCUGAACACAGAACAGGAAUAUCAGGUAAUGAAAAUGUUCUUUUGGUAUAGUAUUAUGUUUUAUGCUUUGAAAGUAUUAGUAUGCAAGGAACUCAGGCAAGAGCAUAAAAGAGGAAGUAGGAAUAAUACUUUAUGUUUGAAUAGGCUUUAGACUUUCCAAAAUACUUACAUCCUACUGAAGCUUGGUAGCAAGUAUUAUCCUUGUUUUAUUGAUGAAAAACAUGCUUCCAAGAAAGAUGCAUUACAAGCGACAGAAAACUCAAAGUGGAUUACACAGUAAAAGGAUCACUUCACUGAGGAACUGAACACGAGCAUUUAACUUGUGUGACUAGUUAUGGCCUGGUC
rnacentral:lncRNA from 1 species